rnacentral:rRNA from 1 species
UAAACGGUGGAUCCGCAAAGUCGGCCCGCGGAAUUCAGCGCGGCGCGCGGCCUGGGGCUGCUGCGGCUCGGGAUCCCUGGGACCCGGCCGUGGUGCCGCGCCGGGCUCCGCCGCGUGCACUUUCYGCGGGCAGAGCGCCACAACCGGUUCUUUUGGGCGGCCAGAAGCCGGGUGGGAAGGUAGGUACGGGCGGCAACGUCUCAUACUGUAUAGCCCACCCUGGCGAGCCGCCUGGGGACCGAGGAACAACCGCGUGCUUCGAGGCUACCCGGCCUUCCGGGGGAGUUCGACUGGGAGAGACUGGGCAACCGUUCUUCCGACCGCUCUCUUGUGACUGGAUCGGGCUAGCCGGGCGCGCCCGUGGGU